GCAGUCUGACUGUACUCAUAGGACCAAUCCACACCACUGCUCGGAGAUUACUACCAGACGCUGCUUCUCCUCGAGGACCUGGUGCUCCGCCAUAUCCCUCUAAAGGAGCCUGUUCUCGAUACCAUAAACCCCAAUCGACUCUAACCUCUUGCUCAGCCUAUAUACCGCCUCUUUCAAAAAACAAAACAAG
rnacentral:rRNA from 1 species